rnacentral:rRNA from 1 species
GUGGGGAAUAUUGGACAAUGGGCGCAAGCCUGAUCCAGCCAUACCGCGUGGGUGAAGAAGGCCUUCGGGUUGUAAAGCCCUUUUGUUGGGAAAGAAAUCCAGCUGGCUAAUACCCGGUUGGGAUGACGGUACCCAAAGAAUAAGCACCGGCUAACUUCGUGCCAGCAGCCGCGGUAAUACGAAGGGUGCAAGCGUUACUCGGAAUUACUGGGCGUAAAGCGUGCGUAGGUGGUCGUUUAAGUCCGUUGUGAAAGCCCUGGGCUCAACCUGGGAACUGCAGUGGAUACUGGGCGACUAGAGUGUGGUAGAGGGUAGCGGAAUUCCUGGUGUAGCAGUGAAAUGCGUAGAGAUCAGGAGGAACAUCCAUGGCGAAGGCAGCUACCUGGACCAACACUGACACUGAGGCACGAAAGCGUGGGGAGCAA